GGAUAAAGAGGGCGCACAACGUGGGCAUUGCGUUGUCCGGCCUUUUAACAGUUUGUCACGUCUGAAGCUGUAAGGCGCCUUCACAAUUCGGAAAACAACCCACAUAAAUAUGAUCCACAAACUGGAAUAAGUUCGCCUCGUAACCAAGCAGUCAUGACUUAUCAGCUAGAGGAAUUGAAAACAACUUUUGCAGAUGCAGACCCUGAGUGUAUACAAGCGUGUUGCAAGACAUACUUUGAAACACUUCGGAGAAAGUACAAUUUGUCUCAGCCAGAAAAGUCCCAGCUAAGAGAUGCCAUUAAAACAAGAGCUAAAAACCGACAAAGGAAAAGACAGUUGCUGGAUUCCAGGUCCAAGGUGAGGAGCUUCAGCGCAGAUUGGAGGCAGACAUGCGCUACACUAUUUUGCAUCAUCAGCGUGUUAAGGCUGAUGGAAAUGGACAUGAUGGACCUUCCUUUCUUCAACUUUAACUAAACUGCACUGGUUUUGCAAUUUUAAUAAUUGCACCACAAUUAACGCAAUUACAAUCGGCAAGUCGGUCGGACAAAAAGGGGAAAAAAAUAAUUAAUUGGGUCAGUCCUAAAUUGACA